AUUGAACGCUAGCGGGAUGCUUUACACAUGCAAGUCGAACGAGUGGCGGACGGGUGAGUAAUAUAUCGGAACGUGCCCAGUAGCGGGGGAUAACUACUCGAAAGAGUGGCUAAUACCGCAUACAUUUGGACGGGCCAAUAUCGGAUUAGCUAUUUGGUGGGGUAAGGGCUCACCAAGGAAACGAUCCGUAGCUGGUUUGAGAGGAGGACCAGCCACAGUGGGACUGAGACACGGCCCAGACUCCUACGGGAGGCAGCAGUGGGGAAUUUUGGACAAUGGGGGAAACCCUGAUCCAGCCAUCCCGCGUGUAUGAGAAGGCCUUCGGGUUGUAAAGUACUUUUGGCAGAGAAGCGGUAUCUGCAGAAUAAGCACCGGCUAACUACGUGCCAGCAGCCGCGGUAAUAC
rnacentral:rRNA from 1 species